GCCAUUUUCUGGAACAGAACAGGGAGGUAUUUGGAUAAAGCCAGGUACUUGGCGAGGCCACCACUCCUGCCCACAUGCAGUGCCCGGGAGCUGAAUGGAGGCUGCACUUUCCCACCAGCAGGCUCUGAAGAACCAGGAAGAAAACAGGAAGUCGAAACCAGGGCUAGGGACCUGGAGCAGAUUCCCACGCACGGCUGGGUCCCUGCUGUGACCCGCUGGACGACAGGGUGAUCAAGGCACCUGCGCUUUGUGGCACAGCUUCCCCCAGCCACCCAGGGCCUCAGGGGCGCAGGUCACAGGGGCCACAGGGGCCCUCUCUGUCCUCUCAAGGAGCUCGCCUGGGGGCCCUGCACGGAUCACAGAAGGAAUACAAAAGCCUCUUCAAGGAAAGGUUACGGUUAAGGAACCCAUAAACAAACUCGUGAAAGGAGGGCAGAUUAUGCCUUCAGCCAACCGGACAGGAACCAGGAAGUGAGUAGCUGAUCCGUAAGAACUGAGCAAAAACCAGCCAGGUGCAAAGAGUCCAAAGAGGCACGCGGAAGGCCUGCUGCUGGUGGGGACGCCAAUGCCUGCAGAGGGACUGCGGGAAGCCAGGGCCACUGAGCUGCUGCUCCCUUUCACCCUGCUGUACCUGCUGGAAUGGGAUGGCACUCUUUUCUUUACUGCCAUGGGACAGGGAGCUCCAGAAUUUCCGAGGACUGCAGGGAGAACCUGUCUACAAGACAGCCAAGCGUAAGAGAAGCCAGAGUUGAAGUUAUCUUGGAACCAGACAGUGGAGGAUUGGUGAAUUUGGUCACCAGUGGAUGCUGGGCUUGCCACUAGGGGCCAAGGUGUGGAUCAAGGAGCUUCCAGCCAGAACCGCUAACAACUUAAGGAGAAAACACGUACUGGGGUGAGAUGAUCUGAAGGGUGUUUCCAACGAGAAUGACACAAAUACCAAGGACUGGAGAAGCCCUUGGAACAAUUGAUAAAGCUUCCCACAUUUUUUUUUUUUUGAGAUGGAGUCUCACUCUGUCACCCAGGCUGAAGUGCAAUCGCAUGAUCUCGGCUCACUGCAACCUCUGCCUCCUGGAAUCAAGGAAUUCUCCUGCCUCAGCCUCCUGAGUAGCUGGGAUUACAGGCUCCCACCACACCUGGCUAAUUUUGUAUUUUUAGUAGAGACAGGGUUUCACCAUGUUGGUCAGGCUGGUCUCGAACUCCUGACCUCAGGUGAUCCACCUGCUUCCGCCUCCCAAAGUGCUGGGAUUACAGGCAUGAGCCACUGCGCCUGGUCAAUUUCCCACAUUUUCUUAAGAUUAUGUUUGGCCUACAAAAGCUCAACCCAAAGCUAUCUUAUCAAGCUGGUAUGGAAUCUUUAUUUCAGCAAGGUGAUAUCCCCAAUAUGUAAUUCAACCUUUUGUUUAUUCCAAUAAUUAGUACGCAGGUGCUAUUUUAACUAAAAUUGUGUUAAAUUUGAGAUAAAAUCAAUGUAUUUUUGUAAUUUUGUUUUCACCCUGAAAAUUGGUCCUACUAUAAGACAAGAUGGGAUCACCCUUCCUGUGAUGGCUGGCUCCGGUGGAAGCCUGCGUGGGGCUCCCAUACCCCUCACCCUCCUGGACAGAUCGUCACCCUGUCUCUGCUUAAAUGCCUCUGGUAACAGGGAGCUCACUAAUCCACAAGGAAGUCUGCUCUGUUUUUGACACCUCUGACUAUUAAAGUUACUCUUUUUCUUUUCUUUUCUUUUCUUUUUUUUUUUUUUUUUAAGACAGGUUCUCUCUCUGUUGCCCAGGCUGGAGUGUAGUGGCAUGAUCACGUCUCACUGCAGCCUUGACCUCCUGGGCUGACAUGAUCCUCCUGCCUCAGCCUCCCAAGUAGCUGGGACCACAGGUCUGUGCCACCACAUCCAGCUAAAUUUUACUUGUUUUUUUGAGACAGGGUCUCACUCUGUUGCCCAGGCAUGGGCAUGGCUCACUGCAGCCACAACCUAUGUGGGCUCACUCAUCCUCCCACCUCAGCCUCCUGAGUAGCUGGGACUACAGGAACGCACCAUCACGCCCAGCUCAUUUUUGUGUUUUUUUGUAGAGACAGGGUUUCGUCAUGUUGCCUAGGCUGGUCUUGAACUCCUGAGCUCAAGCUAUGUAUCCUCCUGGGCCUCCCAAAGCACUGGGAUUACAGGAGUGAGCCACGGUGCUCAGCCCAAGUUAUUCUUUACGCUGACCUUAAAUAUACAUUCUCCCAAACUCACACCCCUUCUCCACAUGGUCAAGGUGUCUUAGUGACGGGGUGAAAAAGCUGGAGUUGAGUUGCAUCUUGGCUUUGAUCCCUACAGGCAAGCCAUGCAAUGACUGGGACUGUUCUUCCCUGUCUACAGAUGGGGGCUCCUUCCUUCCUUUUCUCUUUUGUGAACAUUAAAUGAUGCCAUGACAUGCCAUGUAGGAGGGCACUUGCUGAACAGCCAACACUCCUUUCCCGUUGGUCUUGCCCUGGCUCUGGGGGUCACACAAUUGCUACAG
rnacentral:lncRNA from 10 species